ACAGAUCAGUAUUCAGUCAUGAUUCCUUAAUUGUAGGCAUGGACCAUGCGGAGAGUCCAGCUUCUUAUUGCCCAAAUAAGUUCAACAGUUUCAUUGGGAGACCAUCCUUGUCUGAAAG